AGCAGCCGCGGUAAUUCCAGCUCCAAUAGCGUAUAUUAAAGUUGUUGCAGUUAAAAAGCUCGUAGUUGAAUUUCGGGAUCAAUAUAUCGGUCGUGCCUUGGUACGUACUGGUAUCAUUGGUUUCUCCUUUCUGACGAACCAUGAUGUCAUUAAUUUGGUGUUAUGGGAAGUUAGGACUGUUACUUUGAAAAAAUUAGAGUGUUUAAAGCAGACUUUAGCUUGAAUACAUUAGCAUGGAAUAAUGAAAUAGGACGUUCGAACCUAUUUUGUUGGUUUCUAGGAUCAACGUAAUGAUUAAUAGGGAUAGUUGGGGGCAUUAGUAUUCAAUUGUCAGAGGUGAAAUUCUUGGAUUUAUUGAAGACUAACUACUGCGAAAGCAUUUGCCAAGGAUGUUUUCAUUAAUCAAGAACGAAAGUUAGGGGGUCGAAGACGAUCAGAUACCGUCGUAGUCUUAACCAUAAACUAUGCCGACUAGGGAUCGGAUGAUGUUAAUUUUUAAUGACUCAUUCGGCGCCUUACG
rnacentral:rRNA from 1 species